rnacentral:rRNA from 1 species
UGGGGAAUAUUGCACAAUGGGCGCAAGCCUGAUGCAGCCAUGCCGCGUGUGUGAAGAAGGCCUUCGGGUUGUAAAGCACUUUCAGCGAGGAGGAAGGUGGUGAGCUUAAUACGCUCAUCAAUUGACGUUACUCGCAGAAGAAGCACCGGCUAACUCCGUGCCAGCAGCCGCGGUAAUACGGAGGGUGCAAGCGUUAAUCGGAAUUACUGGGCGUAAAGCGCACGCAGGCGGUUUGUUAAGUCAGAUGUGAAAUCCCCGGGCUCAACCUGGGAACUGCAUUUGAAACUGGCAAGCUAGAGUCUCGUAGAGGGGGGUAGAAUUCCAGGUGUAGCGGUGAAAUGCGUAGAGAUCCGGAGGAAUACCGGUGGCGAAGGCGGCCCCCUGGACGAAGACUGACGCUCAGGUGCGAAAGCGUGGGGCAGCAAACAGGAUUAGAUACCCUGGUAGUCCACGCUGUAAACGAUGUCGAUUUGGAGGUUGUGCCCUUGAGGCGUGGCUUCCGGAGCUAACGCGUUAAAUCGACCGCCUGGGGAGUACGGCCGCAAGGUUAAAACUCAAAUGAAUUGACGGGGUC